AUGUUCUGAUUUGCCUUUGGAUUGUAAAAGUCUUUCACUUUUUACUAAAGAUUUCCAUGGAGAGGAAUGCUCAAGAGUUUUAACUUAUUUUUACGGCCCUGCAUUUGUAGGGC